UACGAGGAUGCAAGCGUUAUCCGGACUGGAUUGGGUGUAAAGCAUCUGUAGGCGGUUUUGGAAGUCUACGGUUAAAUCCCAGGGCUUAACUUUGGUUCAGCCGUAGAGUACUUCAAAGCUUGAGUAUGGUAGGGGUAGAGGGAACUUCUCGUGGAGCGGUGAAAUGCACAGAGAUGAGAAGGAACACCAGUUGGCGAAAAGCGCUCUAACUGGGCCAUGACUGACGCUGAAGAGAUUGACAGCUGAGGGAGCGAAUAGGAUUAGAUACCCGGGUAGU
rnacentral:rRNA from 1 species